rnacentral:lncRNA from 1 species
AUUUUCCAAUGUACUAAUGAUAUAAUGGCAUCUCUAACUUCAUUGUUGACUUCCGAGUAAACCUACAACAUGUAUAUAAAAUUUAUCAGAUGAGUACAAAAUAUCAACUAAUUUCUAAACACAUUGGAACAUUUUCUGCAAUUCUCUAAAACAAGUCUAAGGCAUUAUCCAAAGAAAUAUCCAAUAUUGACCCUCCCACUAAGGCAUCUGCGAUAUUGCGAAAUUCAGGUCUUAGUCCCGAAUGGAAUAGGCAGAUUUUUUUAUUCAUUUCGAAUGUUCAGCAUGGGGCACUUUCUGAAAUACUAUUUGAAUCUUUCUCAUGCUUCUGGAUAGCUCUCGAGGUCCUUUUGCUUAAAAGUAUGGACUUCAUUUCUAAUAUAAUGGACUCGAGAUGGUGAAAGAAAUUUCAACGUAAACUUCUGCACCAUGUCAUUCCAUGAAAUGAUAGUCCUAUGAAUUAUGGAAUUUAACCAUUCUCGUGCACCCUCCUUUAACGAUUGAGGAAAUAGACGUAGUCGUAAUGCAUCAACAAACAUGUCUUCAUGGUUGAUCAUAUCGCAAAGCACCAAGAAAGCUUGAAUAUGUUCAUGAGGAUUUUCUGUUGAUCUCAUGGAGAACCUAAUAUCUUGAUGAUUCUGAAAUAAGUUGAUAAUGUUAGGUCUAAUAUGGAUGUUGGCCUGUCCAAUAUGAUAGCCAGUUGUACAGGAGCUGGUACAGGAUUUACAUAAUCCCUUACUAAAGCUUCUCCAUGAUUUGCGACUAUCCUUGGCUAAUCUGGCCGAGGUAGUCGUAAGGGGUUCUGUACCUAAUUCUGAUGUUGAUUUUCUGCCAUUUUUCUCAUUUGUCUCUGCUAUCUUCUUUGCUCUUUGAAAGUUCUUUCGAUUUUGGGAUCUAUCGAAAGAAACUCGAUCUCGUCAGAAUUUUGUAUAAACUGUGAUUUCCUAAAAAGUGCAAAACGAGAGACUUAGUUGGUUC